CUGUUCUCAAAUCACUCUGCAUCAGGCAGUGGACUUGGAAGGAAGCAUUAAGAAUUCAUCUCAGCAUCUCACGAAAAUCAUCCCACUCAUUUUGGAAAAUCGGUCCUCUUCAUUUCCACAUCAUCUUAUAAUCAUCCAAGUUAAAGGAAGAAUUUCGAAAUCGUGGUGGCAGAGAAGGAGGAGCAGCGGAUCCAGUGGCAGUUCUUUCCUUUCUUACUCGGCGGACGGAGACGGAUGCCUUGUUUCUUCUAUUGAAUCAGGUUGGUAAUUGCCUUGAUUGAAAAGAGGGAGGGAAGUAUUACAAAGGGUCGGGUUAGAAUUACUGAGGCCAGAAAGCUUUGUGGGCUGUAGCUCUGCGAAGUGGUCAAGUGUCGCAAAUAUUUCUUUGAAAGGAAUCUUCCUCACUCAUUGAUGAGAUAGCUUGCUUGACAUUGCUCGUAUCACAGUCCUCCAUUAACGGCACCAUUGAAAUUCUACAAGUCGGGCUCACCUAGUCACAUAAAUACAGAUCCAACGCAGGAGCAGAAUACGGCAGAGCUGUUGAAAUGGAUAUCGGACGUAACAAUCAAACGUAGACAAAUCAGGAGAACGACUCGUUGUAUCUUCCUGCCGAAUAAGAAAUGGGCUGGCUGCCGCUGAUCCCUCUCCUUGGGAGGCCAGGUCGAAGCGGUCACAAGUUGAAAAGUCAUCUGCAGGAUAGCCGUCUGAAACCCUACUCCAGUCCAACCUCAUGAAAUUCCUAGAGAGUUCAAAAUGGUCAGUAGCAGUCCCAUCAAAUACGAGACGAAAUGCCGGACUCUGAACGACGGGUUGCGGUAUCGGUAUCGUAAGACGAUUUCUAAUCGUUCGUUCUUAAGCAUUUAUAAAAAGGCAUCAUCACACAACAUGCCAUGCUGUUGUUUCCCUCGUAUGUUUAACUAAGGUACAAAGCAAACGAAAGAACGGUUAUCUAUGGGUUUCUUCCACUCGAAUUCAGUCCACUUGGCGCAGAGAAUGGUCGCGCAAUAGUGCAGAGAAUUAUUGGAAAUUGGAAUAUAUAUAUUGGUCCAUCAUCUUGGAAAAACAUGAAAAUUUGGUGGUUUAGGCGGAAAUUCACUGUAUCCGCGGACGUAAAAUCAAGGUUUGGUAAAUGAAGCAUAUCCUGUAAAUAUUAUUAUAAUAUGGUAAAUUUUGAAAUGGGAAAAUUAUAUAUCGGGGCGACGGGGGGUUAACUUAACCAUUUGUAGUUUUUGUGCCCUACAGUUCUAUCCUUGGUGGUUUGCUAUAAAGAAAGGUUUUGACCAUGCCAUCGUGGAGCUUGUAAAAAAAAUUAUGGGAGAUAAUUGGAAAGCUACAACUUUAUAUUAAAUUCAACAUUUUAUAUUAUUAAUUUAUAUUAGCUGCAUGAUAUGGUAGGCUACGUGCUAGUCAAUGUUUUUUAUUGUGUUCAAGGACGUGUGAUAUUAGUUGAACGAUGACGCGUGGGGUACGUGCGUUUGCUGGAGGGAAAUUGUAAUUAAAAGGAAGCUAAACGGGUAAAUUAUAACUGCUGUUACCUAUGGUCACUGGAUGGAAUAAGUCUUAGCAAUCGGUAUUUGCUGCUGCACUGCACAGUACUAAAUGUAAUGAAUGGUAACGUAUUUUUCGAUUAAUUCACGGUAUUUAGCAUUUUUGGGUCAAACAUAACUAUGCUUGUGGUGUUCGUUAUUACUUUUGUCGAGAUCACAUUGUGAGGAAUAUCAAGUUGCAUUAACAACUACUCGCGGAGAAGGUAAUAUAUUCUGUCCCUGAUUUGUUGAAGUACACGCAAUCCAGUCCUAAAUAACUAGAAAGCUAAAGCUUAUACAUACACGGCGUAUGAUUACUGUUGGUAAUUUUUUUUACUUCUAUAAUCCUACUACUAAUUCCUACAGGCCUGUGUCACUUGUUUGUAUGUUUUUCUUGCAUUUCUUCAAAAUUACUUUAGGUAUGACCGUCCUACUCUGCAUUUGAUUGGUAUUAAUUACGGGAAGUUCUGCUUGCCUUUUGUGUGUAGCUGGCGAAUCCACAUUAACGUGUUUCUUGGUGGUCUAAACUCCAGUAUGUAUGGUUAUGUAACGUUUAAGUUAGUAAUUAUAUAUUUCACUUAGCCAGUAGCAUUUUACUACUUCUUUUUCUUCUUCUACAUAUAAUUUGUGGUGCACCCUUCGGGGUUAUGUAAACUAAAAAAAUAUUUGUUUGCAAAGUGCGAUUUUAGUAGGUGUGUUCGGAAGAGGGCUGGCCAGAAAUCUUUGGUGAUAUAAAAAUGCUUAUUGUGCUCACGCCAUGUGCCUACCAACCGAGAGAGAGAGAAAAAAAGUAACGGAGAAUGUCCAAAGUCGACAGAGGUGUAAGGUUUAGUUCCAAAUAAUUUAAAUUUCGUCAGAAAAAAACAGUUUGGUUCCAGAGAUAUAUAGAAACAGCAAAGUCGAAGUGCGAUGAGGCGGCGCAGGGAUAAGGAUAAUUCGACGUCCAUCACUCCCAUAAAAGAUGUACAAAAGCUUGGUACCACAGUAAGGUCUCAUAACACAUAUUUUUUGGGGAAAAUAUGUUUUUUCAUAUGUACAGGUAGUCAAAAAAAGACCUAGAUUCAUCAACGUUUGUCCCACACUCACUUUCUCCCUCACACUACUAUUCAGCAUUCCACUUCAUCCAUCACGAGAAGUCGCCCACUCCCACCCCCACAUAUACGUCUAAUGCAAUAUAGUUGCAACUUCACGUGUGAUACAAAUUACGAAUAAUAGUGCAUAGUAUAUCAAUCAUACCAUGUUGUAAGUAAUUUUAAGCAUUGUCGUAUAUAUCAAUUCAUACAUAUAUAAGGUAUAACAUGUCAGAUAUGUGCGUGGUUAGUUUUUUUCUAAAGUUGUUUACUAGCAUAUCGCCUAAGUGAUGAAGUUCUGCCGUGUGCAGUUUAUCUUGUAGCUGUGAUUAACGGUUAAUGUGAUUUUAAAUAAGUGUAAGUUCGAGUUUGAUCUCAUAUAAAACAAUUCAGAUAAAAGAAAAUAUGCAUUUUGUGUCCCAUGUAUAAGAAUAACAGGUUAAAUGAAAUUAUAAUGAUCACCCACAAAAAGUUAAGAGAUGAAACCCAGGUCCACUAAAGGAUGAGCAAGAAAGAAAGAGGAGUUUAGGAGCCACAGAAGUAUCUUCCUUAAAUCUCAGUCAGUCAGUCGUCAAUAGUCCAGCCAACUGCCAAAAAUGUUCAUCGUGUUCAUCAUUUUACUACCACCACCAUAAAAAAGUUCCGGCGAUAAGUAUUCCUGCAGUUUAAAAAAGAAAGGUUAAUUGUAAAUAUUCGACGUGGUUUUUGUGUCAUCUAUUUCAGAAAGUCUUGUAAGUUCAACUGUUGUAAGCUUAAAGUUGGAGGAAGGUAAUCCUAGUCAGUGAAAUCAAUCAAUUAAUGAAGUUGCCGUCUUUUUUCGUGUUUAAUUUCAAGAAGAGCCAGGAAAGUCAAAUCUCUGCGUUGUAAGUGAUGUGGUUUAAAGUUUCACUCGGUUUUAUUCAAUGGUCUUUUUAAUUCCAUUUGAUGCAAAUCAAUGGAAGUUGUUGUUGGAUUUUGUGUUUGGUGUUAAAGUGUAUUAAAGGUUGAUUCCAUUCCGUCCGGCAACACGAUGAUGAGAGCAUUUCCUGUGCUGCAUCGAUCGAUUCCUGUUGAAUUACCUUUGUCUGCGUGCGUUCAGUGAAUGAAGAAUGAUAAGUUAUCUAACCUUAAUUAAGUAUUACAAAAAUUACUAUGCAUUUAGCUCUAAAUGGUAGGAAUGUGGUUAAGCUAAAAAAAAUAUGCUUGUGCGUUUCGUUUGUUUGGUCGUAUAUCUACUAGAUAGAUAAUUCUGUAUAUGCGGGAGAGAUAACAUCGUGCUGUUGCUGUCCCCUGGUCAUAAUGGACGAAUACGAGAAUAAAGCAGCGUCAGCUGAUGAAAAAUAGAAAGAAUAUGAAAAACGUUGUCCGUGUACGUUCCAUUUCAAGAGGGAUUCUCCUCCUCAUCAGAGAAUACGAAGGUCAAGGGCAAUAAGGUCACCCAUUCAUCCAUACAUCCUUCCCCGCACCCCCACUACUUCAUCCAGCAAUCCAGUGUUGGCGAUUCAGUUGCUUCUUAUUCCACGUUGGACGAGGAAAAAAAUUCUCUCGGUUCCUAGUAGCUGCAUUUCAUCUACCCAUUACACCCACCCAGUCAAGUUAUCAGUAUUACUGCAAGGUUAAUCCGUCCCGGUUUCGGCCACUUCACUCUGCUUAUUUCAAUCCCAAUCCACAGAAUCGUUGUACCAGAAUUUUUCACUAUUCAAGUUGGAAAUCUUUAUUUUUGUCAAUAACCAAGAUCCAAAUCCCUACUUAAGCACCAAGACACGGGUCUGCCUUUAUUCAUCAUCCCAUAACCCAUCUUUCGAGUCAUUGUUGGUCACAACGGAGGGGGGUCGUUAGUUUAUUACGCAAACAAACAAAGGGCUACGAAGUAAAAUAUGCCACCCAGGUGCCAUCACGUCUACUUCUUCACUUGGCAAACCUUUCAUCACCACGUCGAUCCCUACGGUACGAGACGAGAUAGACAACUACAAUUUGACAGUCCUGUCCUGACGCAUCACAUAUUAGCGUGAAUCUCUUUGUCCCAACCCAGACCAAAGCUGACGAAUCGUAAGGUAGAACUCAAUUUCUCACUUCUCUAUCUAACCCCGUAUUAUCAAAUCGCUAUGCUAAACAUUCCACACCAUACAGAUAUCAAUUGCGAAUAACGAAACACUAAACGGACAUUGUAAUCGUGAGAAGUUCAAUGUAUCCACUAUCCAUUCUGAAAGAGAAUAUGUUGUUCUUUUAUAAAAUUCUACGCCGUCACGCAGUAUGACCUGAGAAAACUCGUGGCGAAGCAAAGCGUUUGGGACUUUAAAUAAAGUUGGGUUAAAUGCGUGAGUAUGAAAAUCACUUGGAAAAGAAAAAAAUACGAUGUGUGUUGGCUGUAUCAAUUUCCAGUCGAAUUCAAGGCUGAUCUGAAAAGUAUUUCAAUUUAAGGAAAAUGAAGUCAGUGUAUCUUUGUCAAAUGAAUGUCUAAUCAUCGGUAUCAAAGUCUUUCGCUAUUCGUAUAAAAGAAGAUAUCGCUUAAUAAGGUUUGGAGGAUUUUAAUUGGUUCGUACAAACAAAAUGUAAUGGAAGAGUUCAAAGACUUACGCCAAGGUGUUCUAAAAUCAAUCAAAAGAGGUUCUGUGUGUACUAAAAAAUCUACAAGAAAAUCAAUGGAAUUAUAUCUUCACGCAAAUCCUUUGCUGCUGCUUUUACUGAGUGAGAAUGCAAAAACCAGUUCUAUUUGUCAAACUCUUUGAGAAACAUCGUUCCUGUUGUAUUGGUUCAUCUAUAUAAAUCAAUUGCGCGUCAUGCCAUACUGUCAAUGUCUGCUGUCUUGAUACGAGUUACGAAUGUUACGAUGUCGAAAAUGAAACGAGUAUUGACGUCCAGUUGAUCUAAGAAAAGGCUAGUUUCAAGUCACAAGGUUUCAUCCCUUACAUGGUGGUUAAAGUCAAUCUAUUUACACUUCUCAUCUAAAAUGCCAAUGAGGCGUCUAAUCAAAGUACAUCAUCUAUCGAGCAUAUUGCAACAAAUGAACAAUUUACUGAAGGAUAGCUGUCAAUUAUUGUCCACUUCUGAGCAACAAGAAUGAAAGAAUUUGAAACUGGCUUUAUGCUCAUUGAUUAAGCAAGAAAGAAAUUAUGUUCUAUUGGACAGUCUACAUUGGUCUCUCCGUUAGAGAAGCAUUUUGGAUGCACAAGGAUUGUGGGGAUUUUGGUUACAAAUCGUAUAAAUAUCUGCACUAAAUCUCAGACUCAAGUCAUCGCGUGUGGGGUAACUCAUCGAGGGAGGAUUUCAAGAUUUCAUUCCAUCGGUUCCAGUUUGAAUAGGACAUCGAGAAGGAAUUCAGGAUGUUUCACCGGUUCAGAUAAUUUCAAAUUUAUCCGUAUCGCGUCAAGGGAUUCAGGUUCCAUUUUACCGUCAUUGGGGUUUCUAGGAUUGUUUCUCUCUCGUCUCAGCAUCGGAUUUCUUAGUUUCGGAUUCAUUGUCAUAUUCUGUCGGUUUCACAAAUUUCACUGCACAUCAUCUUUUCGGCGUUUUAAAUCAAAACACAACGUUGGCAUCAUCUGGUUAUUCAUCAAUAAAAAGAAGAAUGGAAAUUGUUCAUGCACAUGAAUGAAUGAAAUUUGAAGUAAUCCAAUGUCAAGCGGUAUAGGGCGGCCAAUCAACUACCAUCAAAAAUUCGAGCUACUGCUGUUCUAGAAAAUGAAUCAAGGUCAAUCGUCAAUCUGUUGCAUUCACACUGAAUAACUAAACCAAUAGAAUUCAAAGAAGGAUAUUCACAGACUACUAAAUUUUUGCGUUAAGACUUCGUAAUUAACCAUCAUGCUACAAAGUCCACAGGUGUUGGCAGCAGAAUGAAGAGGUUUCUCAUGAAAAGCGAAGAACUGCGACAAAUUCAAAAAAUGUAAAAUGUCAUACAGAUUUCAUGAACGGGGUCCAUUGCAGUAAAUUCAAAUUGGCCAGUAGUCAACUUUAUAUUGAGCGAAAGGCAGUCGCAGAUCCAACGCCAUAGUCAAUCAAAUUCAUCACAUUGCGAAUCGAAUAUUGUUCAACAAACCAAUUAUCGACAUGGAGAUGGCUCCAGUCGACCAGUCUGGUGCAUUUAUAUUUUCAAAGUCCAAUUCAACAAAUGGGGCGUCUUCGCCAAUCAAUUAAUGUAUUUACAAUUUGGAGGAAUAAGUUUCCAAGUAUGAAAAUCCACUGUCAACAACAUGAAUCUGCAAUCAUCGUUCUAGUUCCUGACUUGGAGAAGGCUCCAAGUCAGUCGACUAAACGACUAAACGUACUCCGACGUCGUAGAACAGGUUGUUCUUACAAAUCAAACAAAUAGAAAAAUUAGGACCUUAACUGGUUGAAAUAUUAAGGCUGUUCUUCUUCCAAUGUUUUUCUGUUUAUUGGAGUCAUGUCAAAUCAAUUGCGUUACAAGUCUAAAAUUCAAGUGUGGCUUAUGUGUUCCACCCAUGACACAUGCAGAAUUAUGAUUGUGCAUAUAUAACAAGGGCUCAGCGCUAUAUAUUCCAAGAAGUAUAUCAAUGUGAGAAUGAGAUUCACCAAAUCAAACAGAAUUAGACAUGCACGAGGUCGAUCAAUUAUUCAAUAAUCUUGAACAGUCCGAGCUUAAACGAAAGUAAAUUCAAAAUAUCAAAUUCAAUUCAUCCCAUUUCAAGUUGAUCCCAAAGUUUCAGUAAUUAGUAAGAAAAAUUCAGCGACUAAAUGAAGAAAUAUUCCCGUAACAGAGAGAUGCGUAUUCUCAGGCUAAAAUCAUUUCCAUCACCUGAGCAUUCUACAAAAAUUAGCGUCACAAGAAAGAAUUGGCGUUAGGUUUCGGUUUCAAGAGAUUGAAUGAUAAGGUCAGUAAGCGAGCAAUUCAGCUAAAGAAGACAGAUAUGCAUAUACCAACGGUUGAAAUGGUCCAGAGUACAAUUAUGGGUCUGAAAAUUCAAAGAAAAUUCAAAUCAUCAAAUCAAUGGGUUACAUAGCGGAAAACGUAUUAGGAAAAUCAUCAUUACGUUCACCUGUUCGAAACUACUAGCACUUAUCUUUGGAUGGCGUUUCAUAGCGAACAAAUUCAAAUGGGGUUAGAAAUUGGCCAGAUUUUUGGGGAAUUUAUAAUUGCAAAACAUAAAAAUCAAUAGUCAUGCUGUGUGGAGUACAAUGUCGAGCUGAAGUAUUUCCAGGAUUGUAGUACGAAUAACAAGCAUAAGUAGCAGAAAGUCAGACAAAAAUGGUUAUCAAAAAGUACAGACCAUUUGCAAAGAAGUCUAUUAUAAUCAACACUUUGCAACUAUAUGAACAAUAGUGUGGGGGUACAGUCAUCAUGGUGAAUUGUCUACAGCGCUACAUACCGAAGGGUCCCUUGUUCUGAAAAUUUUUCACGCGUCUCCGCAGUUAUUGGCAUCCCAAAAGCUUUCAACACAGAGGCCAGGGCUAUUCUCCAUCCAGUCGUCGUCGUCAGUCAGUCAGUCAGUUGAGUCUCCAUUCUCCAUCCAUUUAGGUGUUAUCUGCAUCCAAUUUGCGUCCAGUCAGAGGGACAAUCUAUUCGAAUCUACUAAUUCAUACGUUUGGUAUCACUAACAUCAUCAUCCUUGUUCCUUGAGAAUAUGAAGUCCGAAGUAAAUAGGAGUCACGUCCGGUACAUUUUCGAUCCAGUAAAAUCAUCCCUAAAGCAGUAAAUCAAGUGCACAUCUACAUAUUUUAAGUGAAAACUCAUCUUUAUGGGGUCUUGAUGAAGAAAGAAUUAUGAAAAUCAUGGCUGUUUAGUGAAAAAAAUCAGAGAUCUGUUAUACUAAUGAAGUUGAAAAAAUCCAACCCACAGAGAGACAAGGUGUUGAAAAGAAGGAGGUUGUUCUUGUGAAGAAAGAAGGUGGAGCAAGGCGUAUUUCUAUGCCGUAUAUCCGUUAUCGGAAUAAGUGUGUAAAUAGCCCGUAGUGUGUGGCGCUACUCUGAAGCCUGGAUUGGCUGUAAUCAGGGAUCUGAUGGGAGUAGGUCCUUCUACGGUGUGGUAGGGAAGAGUUGGACCUGCUGAUGCGGGGGAACAUACGCCCAGGACUCAAGAUGAUGAAAGACGAACAUACUUAAUGUAUGAUGACCCCAACAGGCAGAUUGAUGAUGAGACCCGAUAAUUUAACAAAAAUGUCGUGGUUUCCAAGUUCUUUCUGUUCUGGAAAAGUUAACUCUACAUUCCAUCAUCUCUGCAUCCUGUGUGAGCUUAUUGUUAUGCUGUUACUCCACUUAACUGUGCUGUCCAAAGUUGGGGAUUAGAAGAUAAAAAGUUUGCACUUGGUCAUCCCACACCCACCACCACCUACAGGCCACUACCCUUAAAGUAUACGUGUGGUUAAAAAAAUCAAAUUUAAGAAAGUUAACAACUGUUUUAUUGAACGUAAGCAAAGUUAAAGUUAAAUCUCACAUAUAUCUAAACUUAAAAAAUAAUUAUUGACGUGUCUCAUAUUUAUAUGAACGGUUCUUAUUAAUAUAUUCAAAAGUAUACUACGGAGAACAAUAUGUUUCUACCUUCUUGUGUGCCUAGAGAUUUAAAAACUUAAAAAAUAGAGAAAGCCGUCCACGCCAACAAUUGGUUCGGAUCGGAUCAAGUUAAUUUUGCUAA